CGACCUCAGGUCAGGCAAGACAACCCGCUGAGUUUAAGCAUAUCACUAAGCGGAGGAAAAGAAACUAACAAGGAUUUCCCUAGUAGCGGCGAGCGAAACGGAAAGAGCCCAGCUUGGAAAUCGGGGUGUCUCUGCACCCCGAAUUGUAGUCUGGAGAAGGGUCCUCUGCAGCGGACCGGGUUUAAGUCCCUUGGAACGGGACGCCAGAGAGGGUGAGAGCCCCGUCUAGCCCGGACCCUGCUGCAUCACGAGGCUCUUUCGGCGAGUCGGGCUGUUUGGGAAUGCAGCCUUAAGUGGGUGGUAAAUUCCAUCCAAGGCUAAAUACUGGUGAGAGACCGAUAGCGCACAAGUACCGCGAGGGAAAGAUGAAAAGGACUUUGAAAAGAGAGUUAAAAAGUGCUUGAAAUUGCUGGGAGGGAAGCGAAUGGAUGCCUUGUGCGCCCCUUGGUUGUGUGUGGAACGGCGAGAGCUGGUCUGCCAAGCAAUGCAAGGGGCUGUCCAGCAUGGGAGGACGCGGCGGGAUAACGGCUUGUGAGCCUCUGGCUCCCUGCCAAUGCCGCCGCUGCCUCUGAAAAUGGCGGGGUGCUCCGGUGCCCCGCCAGAUGCUGGAACUUGGGCGUUCCAUCCGACCCGUCUUGAAACACGGACCAAGGAGUCUAACAUGUAUGCGAGUCUGUGGGUGCUAAACCCGUACAGGCGAAAGGAAACUAAUUCGUGGGAUCCCCUUCGGGGGUGCACCACGGACCGACCUUGAUCUUUUGAGAAGGGUUUGAGUGUUAGCAUACCUGCUGGGACCCGAAAGAUGGUGAACUAUGCCUGAGCAGGGCGAAGCCAGAGGAAACUCUGGUGGAGGCUCGUAGCGAUACUAACGUGCAAAUCGUUCGUCAGACUUGGGUAUAGGGGCGAAAGACUAAUCGAACCAUCUAGUAGCUGGUACCCUCCGAAGUUUCCCUCAGGAUAGCUGGAGCUCUUGCUGAGUUUUAUCGGGUAAAGCGAAUGAUUAGAGGCAUCGGGGGUGAAACACCCUCGACCUAUUCUCAAACUUUAAAUAGGUAAAGCAGCCGGGGUUGCUCUGUUGAGCCCCGGCCGUGAAUGCGAGCUCCAAGUGGGCCAUUUUUGGUAAGCAGAACUGGCGAUGCGGGAUGAACCGAAAGCCGGGCUACGGUGCCAAAGUGCGCGCUAACCCAGAUCCCACAAAGGGUGUUGAUUGAUUAAGACAGCAGGACGGUGGUCAUGGAAGUCGAAAUCCGCUAAGGAGUGUGUAACAACUCACCUGCCGAAUCAACUAGCCCCGAAAAUGGAUGGCGCUUAAGCGCGCGGCCUAUGCCCGGCCAUCGCGGCGAUUGCGAGGCCCCGAUGAGUAGGAGGGCGUGGGGGUCGUGGUGCAGCUCUGGGCGCGAGCCCGAGUGAAACGGCCCCCAGUGCAGAUCUUGGUGGUAGUAGCAAGUAUUCCGAACAACCUUUGGGUGU
rnacentral:ncRNA from 1 species